rnacentral:misc_RNA from 1 species
GAUGAAGAACGCAGCGAAAUGCGAUAAGUAAUGUGAAUUGCAGAAUUCAGUGAAUCAUCGAAUCUUUGAACGCACAUUGCGCCCGCCAGUAUUCUGGCGGGCAUGCCUGUUCGAGCGUCAUUUCAACCAUCAAGCCCCCGGGCUUGUGUUGGGGACCUGCGGCUGCCGCAGGCCCUGAAAAGCAGUGGCGGGCUCGCUGUCACACCGAGCGUAGUAGAUUUUAUCUCGCUCAGGGCGUGCUGCGGGUUCCGGCCGUUAAACCACCUUCAUAACCCAAGGUUGACCUCGGAUCAGGUAGGAAGACCCGCUGAACUUAAGCAUAUCAAUAAGCGGAGA